GUGAGGAAUAUUGGUCAAUGGACGAGAGUCUGAACCAGCCAAGUCGCGUGAAGGAAGACGGUUCUAUGAAUUGUAAACUUCUUUUGUGCAGGAAUAAAGUGGGUUACGUGUAACCUUUUGUAUGUACUGUACGAAUAAGGAUCGGCUAACUCCGUGCCAGCAGCCGCGGUAAUACGGAGGAUCCGUGCGUUAUCCGGAUUUAUUGGGUUUAAAGGGUGCGUAGGUGGAUUGAUAAGUCAGCGGUGAAAGUUUGCAGCUUAACUGUAAAAUUGCCGUUGAAACUGUCGAUCUUCAGUGCAAAUGAGGUAGGCGGAAUGUGUUAUGUAGCGGUGAAAUGCUUAGAGAUAACACAGAACUCCGAUUGCGAAGGCAGCUUACUGGGAUGCAACUGACACUGAUGCACGAAAGCGUGGGUAUCAAACAGGAUUAGAUACCCGAGUAGUCC
rnacentral:rRNA from 1 species